rnacentral:lncRNA from 13 species
AUGAUUGCAUGUUGGCGAGUAAUAUUGUCUUCUUCGGGUCCGGACGAGGCAUCCGGCUCUUUUUCCUCUGCGUCGCUUCACACUAAGGUCCUCUGCGUUGCUAUAUCUAUAGUAGGUCUGGUCUAUAUCUAUAGUAGGUCUGUGUCUCGUCUAUAUCUAUAGUGGGCCUUUUCUGUAUCUAUAGUAGGUCUGGGUCUGCACUGUAUCUAUAGUGGGCCUUGUCUGUAUCUAUAGUAGGUCUGGUCUAUAUCUAUAGUAGGUCUGGGUCUGGUCUAUAUCUAUAGUAGGAUCAGGUCUAUAUCUAUAGUAUGUCUGGGUCUGGUCUAUAUCUAUAGUAGGCCUGGUCUAUAUCUGUAGUAGGUCUGGGUCUGGUCUAUAUAUAUAGUAGGUCUGGUCUAUAUCUGUAUUAGGUCUGGUCUAUAUCUGUAUUAGGUCUGGUCUAUAUCUAUAGUAGGUCUGGUCUAUAUCUAUAGUAGGUCAGUGUCUGGUCUAUAUCUAAUGUAUGUCAGGGUCUGGUCUAUAUCUAUGGUAGGCUUGGUCUAUAUCAAUAGUAGGUCAGGGUCUUGUCUAUAUCUAUGGUAGGCUUGGUCUAUAUCAAUAGUAGGUCAGGGUCUCGUCUAUAUCUAUGGNNNNNNNNNNUGGUCUAUAUCUAUGGUAGGUCAGGGUCUGGUCUAUAUCUAUUGUAGUUCUGGUCUAUAUCUAUAGUAGGUCUGGUCUAUAUCUAUAGUAGGUCUGGUCUAUAUCUAUAGUAGGUCUGGUCUUUAUCUAUAGUAGGUCAGGGUCUGGUCUAUAUCUAUAGUAGGUCUGGGUCUGGUCUAUAUCUAUAGUUGGCUUGGUCUGUAUCUAUAGUUGGCCUGGUCUGUAUCUGUAGUUGGCCUGGUCUGUAUCUAUAGUAGGUAUCUAUAGUAGGUCUGGUCUGUAUCUAUAGUAGGUCUGGUCUGUAUCUAUAGUAGGUCUGGUCUGUAUCUAUAGUAGGUCUGGUCUNNNNNNNNNNGGGUCUGGUCUAUAUCUAUAGUAGGCCUGGUCUAUAUCUGUAGUAGGUCUGGGUCUGGUCUAUAUAUAUAGUAGGUCUGGUCUAUAUCUGUAUUAGGUCUGGUCUAUAUCUGUAUUAGGUCUGGUCUAUAUCUAUAGUAGGUCUGGUCUAUAUCUAUAGUAGGUCAGUGUCUGGUCUAUAUCUAAUGUAUGUCAGGGUCUGGUCUAUAUCUAUGGUAGGCUUGGUCUAUAUCAAUAGUAGGUCAGGGUCUUGUCUAUAUCUAUGGUAGGCUUGGUCUAUAUCAAUAGUAGGUCAGGGUCUCGUCUAUAUCUAUGGUAGGCUUGGUCUAUAUCAAUAGUAGGUCAGGGUCUGGUCUAUAACUAUAGUAGGUAUUGUCUAUAUCUAUAGUAGGUCAGGGUCUGGUCUACAGCUAUAGUAGGUAUUGUCUAUAUCAAUAGUAGGUCAGGGUCUGGUCUAUAGCUAUAGUAGGCCUGGACUAUAUCUAUAGUAGGUCAGGGUCUGGUCUAUUUCUAUAGUAGGUCUGGACUAUAUCUAUAGUAGGUCUGGUCUAUAUCUAUAGUAUGUCUGGGUAUGGUCUAUAUCUAUAUUGGGCCUUGUCUAUAUCUAUAUUGGGCCCUGUCUGUAUCUAAUGUAGGUCUGGUGUAUAUCUAUAGUAGGUCUGGGUCUGGUCUGUAUCUAUAGUGGGUCUGGUCUGUAUCUAUAGUAGGUCUGGUCUGUAUCUAUAGUAGGUCUGGUCUAGAUCUAUAUCUAUAGUAGGUCUGGUCUAGAUCUAUAUCUAUAGUAGGUCUGGUCUAUAUCUAUAGUAGGCCUGGUCUAUAUCUGUAGUAGGCCUGGUCUAUAUCUAAAGUAGGUCAGGGUCUGGUCU